rnacentral:rRNA from 1 species
CGGAAAACUGGGGAUAAUGCCGGAUAGAUCAGAGAGGCUGGAAUGCACGGGGAGCCAAAGCGGGUGUGCCUAAGGAGGAGUCUGCGGGCUAUCAGGUUGUAGUGGGUGUAACGUACCUACUAGCCUACGACGGAUACGGGUUGUGGGAGCAAGAGCCCGGAGAUGGAUUCUGAGACAGGAAUCCAGGCCCUACGGGGCGCAGCAGGCGCGAAAACUUUACAAUGCAGGAAACUGCGAUAAGGGGACACCGAGUGCCAGCCUCCUCUGUUGGCUGUCCGCAUGUUUACAUCACAUGUGUUCGCAAGGGCCGGGCAAGACCGGUGCCAGCCGCCGCGGUAACA